CAGCACUUCAAAGGAUUGCCUCAAAAUCAGACGCAUCAGCUGCAAAGCACAAAAUCCAUUAAGCAUGUUGUUUAUGAAAACAGAUACUCUCAAUGGACCAGAUCCACACAGGCACAUUUCAGUGGAAAUUACAAAAAUCCUGUAAAGAUCUAGGCCCAAUUCAGUGCCUUCCACAGAGUUUAACUUCUUGCUGAAAAUUAAGAGCUCUGGCACUCUGAAGAAGCUUCCUCAGCCUUAGCACAGACCACACAGAGCAGUCCUGUCUACUUCUAAAACACCUGACAGCCCUGAACAUCAGGUCAACUCCAGCACUUCUUCCAGAAGUCAGCACAUUCUCAACUCCUCAGGUUAGGGCAUCUUACCUGGGUUGCCUGAUCUGUGAGCCUCAUCCCUCUCAGAACACUGAAUGGGUAUAAAGCUGCUAAUUAAUAAAUAAGUUAAAAAAAA